rnacentral:rRNA from 1 species
UACGUAGGGGGCAAGCGUUAUCCGGAAUUAUUGGGCGUAAAGGGCGCGUAGGCGGCUACACAAGUGGCGGGUGAAAUCCCUCGGCUUAACCGAGGAACUGCCUGCCAGACUGUGUGGCUUGAGACCGGGAGAGGUGAGUGGAAUUCCCAGUGUAGCGGUGAAAUGCGUAGAUAUUGGGAGGAACACCAGUGGCGAAGGCGGCUCACUGGACCGGAACUGACGCUGAGGCGCGAAAGCGUGGGGAGCAAACAGG